rnacentral:misc_RNA from 1 species
GAAAAAAUAAAGAAAGAAAGAAAACCCAGCAAAAGUUUAAGCAAACAUAUUAUCUUUGAUCAAAAGUUCAAAACAUCCUAAUCCAAACCAGAAAUUCUCUCUAUGAUAUAAGCAUAAAGCCAGUGCCCUGUACUCUCCUGCAUUUACACCAUUUCUAUAUUCCCAAAUGAAACCAUUUUGACAAUGUGAAGGGAAACAAAGAGGGAAAACAAAAUAAAGAUUCAUUGAUGAUCUGUGUACUAAAAGCAAAAGAAUUCCUUGAGAGAGUCGUACCGCUGUCUGUUGUUUGAAGAUCAUGGUGGAGGACCAUAACCUGGUAGAUCAUGCCACUCAUGAUCAGGUGGGUUCAAAGGAAAGGAGCCAGCGGUGGUGGUGCUGUUGCUGUUAGUGUUGCCUGUGGUGGUGCUGGUACUGAUACUCCACAAAGCUGUGUCAGAUACGGUAGGGUUAGUGGUGGUGCUGCCAAACCCUUGGUGCCAAUUUUGCUGCUGUGAUGAGCUGGCGUAAAAAGGAUGGUCUCCGCUCUUGUUUUCUCUAUUACUCAUAUGGUAAAUUUGCCUUUGCUGUUGGAUUUGCUGCUGCAGCUGCUGUGACCCAAAAGCAUUAAAACCAUGCAAUAGAGUCAGAUUUGAAGGACCUGAUCCCAAAUCACCACCAAGAUUCACUGGUUGAUUUAGAGCAAAAGACUGAGGUUGAUCAUGCAAAGAUUGGAUUGCUGCUAAAGAGGUCAAGAACCCACCACCAGAAUAAUACGGCCCCAUUGAAGAAAUUCCAGGAGGUAAAACCAAAUCCCCCGACGACUCUUUAGUCCUCAAAGCCGGACUCACAGUAUUACCUGAAUUUGUAGUAGACAUAAUAUUCAGUGACUGUGAGCUCGCCAUACUCUGCGGAUGAGGCUGCGAUUGAGACCUGGAAUUCUCACUAAAGGAAGAAGAUGUUGAUGACGUUUUUGCUCGCUUUCCCUUCCGGCAACCGCCUCCUACAGGAACGUUCCUUAGGGUUCCUCCUUGAGUCCAGUAUCUUCUACAGGUCUUGCAAAAGUAUCUAGGCUGAGAGAGACUGUAAUUAUUGUAAUAACAAAACUUGGUAUUGAGCGAGUCACAGCGGGGGCAUUUCUGUGGCUGCUGUUGUGGCUGCGGCUGCUGUUGAUUCUCUCCUUCCAUCGGCUUCAGUCUCCGAUCCUGAUUCUGCUUCAUGAUCUCUUCACUCCCUCCUUGUUCUUGCUGCAUCUUUCUCAAUCUUCUUUCUUGUUUAGUGUUGGUUAUGGAUUUCUUUAUUUUUCUCAAAGAACUGUUAAGAAAUG